rnacentral:lncRNA from 1 species
AGUAAACAGUGCUGCCCUAAUCUGUCUAAAGCCAUGAGGUCGAAGAGGGCGGUGUGUGUGGGGUGAGUCUGAAGCCACAGGCGGAGGAGGAGGAGGAGGAGGAGGAGGAGGAGGAGGAGAAGAAGAAGAAGAAGAAGAAGAAGAAGAAGAGAGAAGAGAAGAGAAGAGAAAGAAGAAAGAAGAAAGGGAAGAAAGAAGAAAGAGAAGAGGAAGAGGAGGAAGAGGAAGAGGAGGAAGAGGAAGAGGAAGGGGAAAAGGGGAAGAAGAAUCGCUAAGUAGCAGCUUUAUACUCAGGCUUCUUGUUUACAUAAUGGGGAGAGUCACGACUGGGUUCUUCUUGGAGCCACCUCCCAGGGCAGUUGUAAGGAGCCCUGAUAAAGAUUUAUGUGGUUUGUUUUCUUUCCCCAAACUUUUGAAGAUCAACAGAGUAGGCUGCUUUUUCCCAGAACCUCUGGUGGAACAGUUCUAAACUUGGGAGCCAGAAAGACCUGAGCUCAAAUUCCGUGCCUUCUACUUACUUCAGGUAAGGCCUUGGGCAAGUUGCUUAAUUUCUUCAAGCCUCAGGCCAUGCAUCUGUAGAAUGGGGAUCAAAGUAGCAAUAGCAACUUUGCCAGGGUG